rnacentral:lncRNA from 1 species
ACUAGGCUUGGAAGACGAAAUAAACAGGCAUUUGCAAAUUCAGCAUUGCUGCAGUUAUAGUGGAAGCUGCAAUAAAAAGUCAAAAAUGUAGUGAUAAGAAGGUGGCGGAGCAAGAAAUUGGACGAUGGUUGAGGAGAGCCGGGGAACGCU